rnacentral:lncRNA from 1 species
UCAGCCUGGACAGUAUAGCAAGACCCUGUCUCUAAAAAAUAAAUAAUAAAUUUAAAAGUUUCAAUGUGAUAAUGUAUGAAGAACUUAACAACGGCAUGGCGCAUAGAACAUACUCAAUAAAUGUUUAUUAUUGUUUUGUUAUUAAUAUCAAAAUGUUUCCCUCUACAUCUAGUUAUAGCUGCAGCCCAUACAUUUUUCAGGUACUGCUUUUAUUUAGUUUGAAGUCUUUAACAAAUUUCCCUCCUACUCUAAAACAAGUAUUAUUUAGUAGACUAUUUUAGUUUUCAGGCGUAUAGGAUUGUUCAAUCGAUCUCUCUCUUUGUCUUAUAAUACUGCUGCAUUAGACUCAGAAGAUGUAGUCUGUAUGAAGGUAAUUUUUCUGACAGUUAUUGAAUAAAUUUAUUUGUAGCUUGAAAAAAGAAAAUGUACUUAGAUGAAUAAAAAAUACCUUUGUUGAAAUUCCUGCAGUGAAAAUAAUUUUGGUACUGCAGUUCUGUAACUCUCUACUCUUCCUUUCUCUAUUACAGUCUUGAUUUUAAUAUCUCGAUAUUUGAAAACCCAAGCCUUCUUAGUAUUGUAGCCAUAAUGAUAUUACAGAAUAGACUAUGAUUUUGUGUUUAUAUGUAUUGUUUAGUAUUAAUUUAUGCUACCACCAGCAGUGUAAGAGAGUGCCUGUUUCCUUGUCCCCUGGUGAGCAGCACUGGAUAAUAUUUAAAAAUAAUUUUUGGCAAUUGGAUUUUUUUUCUGUUACAUUUAUUCCUUUACUUGUUAGUAAACUUUAAUUUCUUGAAUAUAUAUAUAUAUUGUCCAAUUUUCAUUCUAUGUGAAUAUUUAUGUCCUUUACUAAUUUUCUAUUGUGAGAGUAGUGUUUUUGGUUUAUUUUUUCAAAAAUUAAUUUGUAAAACCAGUUUAUAUAUUUAGGGUGGUAUCAUUCCUUGUUGCAAUUUUCUUCUUCCCAGUUUGGAACUGGCUUUAAAAUUUCCACUUAUUCUUUUUUACCUAUCGUCUUUUCUUCCUCUUCUUCAGGAGCAAAUAUUCCCAGCCUUUUCUUCUUAUUUCAUGUAGAGCAGUUUAGUCUUCUUUUAUUGCAGGGGGAAGAUGGUCAUUUGGCAGUGAUGAUGUGGCCCCGAUUGCAGAAUUGAGUUGGAGGCUGAAGCAUGUGAGCUCUGAUCCUUGCCAGUUCCGUUUCAAAGUAAGCCUAGCACAGAGAAGGAACUCAUCUCAGAUUUUGCCUCAGGCAGGUCCUGC